ACAAAUUAGACACAAAAAUGUGUCUAUCACCUCUUCCUCUAGCACCUCCUCCUCCUUCUCUCAGACCGUCGUACCCAAUUUCCGAUCCUCCAUUAACGCCAGAUCCGCCUCCUCUUCGUCCUCCUUACUCACCAGCGCCACUUACACCUUCACCAACUACAAUACAAUCAAAUCUCACUUCUAAACCACCUCCACCAUCACCACUGCCAAUUUUACGACCUUCAAUUAGUUCUGGUAUGAUUAAUUUUGGUUGAUUUUUAAUUUAUACUGAUUUUGUUCGAUUGGUAUUUAAUCUCUCAAUGAAAAUCUUAAUUUGAUCAGAUCCAAUUUGUUUUUGAAAAAUUUAGUGAUUUUUCUUUUUAGUUCUCAGAGACUGUUAUCCCAUCGAUUGGAUGGAAUUUUGCUCCUAACAAAUGAUUUAGAUCUUCUUACCAUUAAAUCGAAUUGAAAUUUCUGAAAGGAUACAAAAGGGAAGGGUAUCUCUUUGAAGGAUAAAUUUAGGGGGAACUCAUUUGGAAUGUGGCAGAAAUGAUUCGUAAAAAUUGGGAAUUGGGUUUUAUUAUCGCAAACAUAAUCUGGGAUCAGAAGAUUAUGAAGAUAAAGCACAAAACUGCAAGAGUAAAAGGGUGGAAUUCAAGACGUUCAAGAUGAUUUUGCUAAAGCAUUGGAAUCGUUAUUAUGUAAAUUUUGGAACUUUAUGAUUAUGACCGACAUGAAAAUUUUACAUUUGAGGUAUAAUUUUCUUAGUUAGUUAACAAAAUGUUAAAGUUGCGGCACUUCUUUUUUGUUAAUAGAUAACAAAAUGUUGAUUCGUUUUUUUCUUCUUAGGUUAAGUUUAUCAUGUUUGUGCACAUGAUUUGGUUUGUUUUCUGUCUGUUUUUUGUGUUUCUUGAUUAGUACCAACGAUGGUUCUGAAUAUACUAUGAGUUAAAAGAAGUGGAGGAAACUUAGAAUUGAGGUACCACUUACUGGGUAACAACGAAAAAGGGAAAGCACAAAACAACGUUCUUACCAGGAUAUUUUGCUGGCCGUACGGCAACUCUUUUAGUGGCUCUUGUUUUGGUUAUAAAUUCGAGAAAGCUUGUAAUAAGGAAGGAAACAUGUUUGCACUUUA